UGGAGGGCCUGUGGGGGAGGGAGUGAGGUCUCAUCCCCCUUCCCAGGCAGUGUGGGCCUUGAGCCUCAGGAGGGCCCAACAGAGCUGGACAGCCCAUCAGUCACUGACGGUCGAGUGGCGCUGCACCAGGAGUUAGGGGCAGGGCCCACUUUUUCCGUUCGGCCUCCAUCUGCCAGGAGGGGCAGGGGCCCUAUGAAAAGAUUCAUCCCGAAGGCACGUCUCUGUCCAUACCAGGAGUAACUGCCGCUUCCCUGAUCAAAGCACUGGGCAAUUACAUUGCUUCCCUUCUAUUCUGUCACGGAAUCAGCCCAGAAACCCUGGAAACCCACAGCGAUGAACUCUCUGGCCGUGUUAAGAGAAGUCUCUUACCCACUUCUAACCAGAUUGCCUGAAGCCAUUCUCGGGAUGGGAGCUAGCAGGUGCUGACUUCUUGCCCUGGGAAGGGAAGAACAUGGCUCUCUGCUUGGAUCUUCUCCUCCGAUGAGUCCUCCAGUUUCAUUCAUUUGACAAAUAUGAACUGGCACCCGCUAUGGACCGGACACUGAGAAUACAAUAGUGAGGAAAUGGGAGUUAUCCUUGGGCUUGAAAAUGACAGCUCCAAGGAAAUGAGGUUGGGCCGGGGUACCAUCAAAGUCAGCAGCUCAGACCCUUAGUACAGGCAAAAAGAGGGAGCCAAGGAGAACUGGGUCUUGGGGGUUGCCUGAAACCCAAACAUGGGGCCCCCUUUUUAAAAAAAAUAAACUUAAAAAAAUUUUUUUUAAUCUUUAUUUAUUUUUGAGAGAGAGACAGCAUGUGAGCAGGGGAGGAGCAGAGAGAG